rnacentral:rRNA from 1 species
GACGAACGCUGGCGGCGUGCCUAAUACAUGCAAGUCGAACGCUUCUUUCCUCCCGAGUGCUUGCACUCAAUUGGAAAGAGGAGUGGCGGACGGGUGAGUAACACGUGGAUAACCUACCCAUCAGAGGGGGAUAACACUUGGAAACAGGUGCUAAUACCGCAUAACAGUUUAUGCCGCAUGGCAUAAGAGUGAAAGGCGCUUUCGGGUGUCGUUGAUGGAUGGACCCGCGGUGCAUUAGCUAGUUGGUGAGGUAACGGCUCACCAAGGCCACGAUGCAUAGCCGACCUGAGAGGGUGAUCGGCCACACUGGGACUGAGACACGGCCCAGACUCCUACGGGAGGCAGCAGUAGGGAAUCUUCGGCAAUGGACGAAAGUCUGACCGAGCAACGCCGCGUGAGUGAAGAAGGUUUUCGGAUCGUAAAACUCUGUUGUUAGAGAAGAACAAGGACGUUAGUAACUGAACGUCCCCUGACGGUAUCUAACCAGAAAGCCACGGCUAACUACGUG